rfam:Loktanella sediminum strain DSM 28715 genome assembly, contig: Ga0131264_105
UUGGAUAGAGAUCGCCCUCCGUCAGCGCGUUGCGCCCACGGGGGCGCUACUG